UACAGGGGGGGCAAGCGUUGUCCGGAAUUACUGGGCGUACAGCGCGCGCAGGCGGUCCACUACGUGCCGUGUGACAAACGUCGGCUUAACCGACGGAGGCCAGGGUACACGGGUGAACUUGAGGCAGAGAGAGGGAUGUGGAAUACCCGGUGGAGCGGUGAAAUGCGCAGAUAUCAGGAGGAACACCAAUUGCGAAGGCAGCUCGCUGGGACGUUACUGACGCUGAGACGCGAAAGCGUGGGGAGCAAACAGG
rnacentral:rRNA from 1 species